ensembl:lncRNA
UGGUACCAUAGCUGCGCGCCCAGCAUCAUCGGCAUCAUCAUAAUCAAUAUAAUCAAUGCUGCUUUGGAGAGUUUGCCACCUGUUGUAAAUGUUUCAGUGUCAACACGCGUCCAGAAAGACUAGAGCGGCUUAUUUUCAGAAGAAAUCCAUUGUUUGGUAAGCUUGAGAGGCACAUUCAGGGAGCAAAGGAGACAUUGUGGAUUACAGACAUGCUGCAUGUUUCGUGUGUUCCAUGUGCAGUUGAUGAUGAUGAUGAUGAUGAUGCCGUUUGCACGGAGAGAUUCAUGAGAGUCUUAUUUCCAUCCAAAAUAUGGCACAAUAAAGUAACAACAACAAGGGCACAGCCAUCAGAGAGAGAGCGAGAGAGAGAUGCUUGGAGGAACAUUGCUACAUCUUCCCUUCUCCAGCUACCCAGAAAGCCCCAGUGCCAUCUGUACCCCUGUGGGGUGCGGAAGAAUCCGUGCCAGUGCCAGCGGCGACAAAACCCUCGUCAGCGUCCUGGAGCCCCGGCACCAACACAGACGGCACAGGGAGGAAGGGAGGCCAUCUUGACGGAGAUCUUACACAAGAAGCUAAGAUGGCUGGGUUGGCACAUGAGAUGUGGACUGAACUCGGUGGAUUCACACUUUGUUGAAAAUGAGACGAAAAUUGACUAAAUAUUCAUCCAGAGAGAACAAUGGGAGCCUCAAGCACCUGAAAGUUUAAGAGGCACAUAAAAUCAUGUGUGUGUAUAUGAGAGCUAAAGUAUUUUGUGUUUAAUAUAAAAGAUUUGUACUGUACAGUAUUAUACAGUAUUUUCAUUAAGAUUAUAUUUGCAUUUUUUACAGUUGCCUAAAGAUAUUUUUCUUUCUUUCAUAGCUAUUAAAAUGAGAAAUAUUAUGUGCAUCUUAUAUACAUAUAGUUUUGUAUUUUUACAUGUAUGUAUUUCCUGUUUUUAUGUUUGUUUUUUUCUGAUUUUUUUAUUUUGAUUUAAUUUUAUUUAUAAAUAAUAAAAUUAUACUGUAUAUUGUAUUAUACGGAUGA